CUGGGCGUAAAGAGUUGCGUAGGUGGCAUAACAAGUAGAUAGUGAAAGCGCACGGCUUAACCGUGCAUCCAUUAUCUAAACUGUUAAGCUAGAGUAUGAGAGAGGUAGAUGGAAUUCUCUGUGUAGGAGUGAAAUCCGUAGAUAUAGGGAGGAACACCGAUGGCGUAAGCAGUCUACUGGCUCAUUACUGACACUAAGGCACGAAAGCGUGGGGAGCAAACGGGAUUAGAUACCCCGGUAGUCCACGCCGUAAACUAUGGAUGCUAGCUGUUAGAGGUAUCGACCCCUCUAGUAGCGAAGCUAACGCGUUAAGCAUCCCGCCUGUGGAGUACGGUCGCAAGACUAAAACAUAAAGGAAUUGACGGGGACCCGCACAAGCGGUGGAGCGUGUUGUUUAAUUCGAUGGUAAGCGAAGAACCUUACCCAGGCUUGACAUCCUUGGAAUUUCUCCGAAAGGAGAGAGUGCCGCAAGGAACCAAGUGACAGGUGAUGCAUGGCCGUCGUCAGCUCGUGUCGUGAGAUGUUUGGUUAAGUCCAUCAACGAGCGCAACCCUUUUAGUUAGUUGUAUUUUUCUAGCUAGACUGCCCUGGUAACAGGGAGGAAGGAGGGGAUGAUGUCAGGUCAGU
rnacentral:rRNA from 1 species